rnacentral:rRNA from 1 species
GACGGGGGGGGCAAGUGUUCUUCGGAAUGACUGGGCGUAAAGGGCGCGUAGGCGGCCACGCACGUCCGUUGUGAAAUCGCCCGGCUCAACUGGGCGGGGUCGGCGGAUACGGCGUGGCUGGAGCAAGCUAGGGGGCAAUGGAAUUCCCGGUGUAGUGGUGGAAUGCGUAGAUAUCGGGAGGAACACCAGUGGCGAAGGCGGUUGCCUGGAGCUUUGCUGACGCUGAGGCGCGAAAGCGUGGGGAGCGAUCCGG